rnacentral:misc_RNA from 1 species
AACGCACCUUGCGCUCCUUGGUAUUCCGAGGAGCAUGCCUGUUUGAGUGUCACUUAAUUCUCAAUCUUCACAGUUUUGCGCUGGUUGAAGAUUGGAUGUGGGGGUUAUUAAUGUGGGAUCUUCUUGAGGACCUACUCCCCUGAAAUAUAUUAGCUGGAAUACCUUUGCAAAUCCAACUAUCAGUGUGAUAAUUAUCUAUGCUGGAGUUGUUGCUUAAAGGACAUCUGCUUCUAAUUUACUAUCCUUCUGGAUAAUAUUGAAUCAUUUUGACCUCAAAUCAGGUAGGACUACCCGCUGAACUUAA